AAAAUUGAAACCAACCUAAUCUCAAUCUCUCUGUUCAUUUUAUGGCAGCCUGGAAUACUAACACACAAAAUUACACAAUGGUGGGAGUAAGCAGGAUCUGUACCUGAGGUGCAAGGCAAAGCCCAUCAUGAAGAGCCUUCAAUCUCCUAUCUGAGCAGGAACAAGAGAGAAAAUCAAUUCUCUGCCUCUGAAAGUUUGACUCAAACAAAGUCUUCUUGCUUUUUACCCUAAGGCUAUGAUGAACUUGGACUGGACUUCUAUAGUUUAGCAUUUGACCGAGAUAUCCCAGUUUCCCAACUGUCAGAUUAUAUUGUUGUGAACACUGAGAAGGCAUACGGGGACACAGGAAGAAGGCUGUGAUAUUUCCCAAAAUUUGUUUCCUGCUGUUCUACUCAAGACUGUCAAAGAAGCUAUAAGGACAGAGAUUCUGAGCACAAGAGACAAUGAGGGAUUUUGAAGUUUGGUGUGGAAGGUAUAAAACAUGUUCUUUGUAUUCUGAUUGAAUUUUGCAUUAUCUGUAAAAUACUCUGUCCUACUAUUUGUUAGUAUUUUAUUCAAGCCUCUUUUUGCUAGUACUAAAAUAUCAUUGAGCAAUUCUCUGCAAACCUAGAACAUGACAGACAAUUGGCUGUUAUCUGCUUAGAUUAUAGCAAGACAUUAUUUUGCCUGUUCUAUUUGAUACAGGUUUCAAAUCCUUUUAAAACUGUACCAUCUUAAAGAUCCCCCUCAAUCCAAGGGCUAGAUAAAAUAAAUCAAUUAACAAUGAGUAAAAAAAUGUGCAGUCACAAGCUGAUUUAUUCUUUUUUCUUCAUAGGAAGGGCAAACUACCCUUAACUCUCUACUUAUAAACAUGUCUACAUUCCCUCUGAGUACUUUGCACAUUUUAAAGACAUUUUUGUAUCUUUACAACAGUGAGACAAUGAAGUGAUACAUUCAUUAUGUUGAUGGAAGGACUUAGAGAACAGGUACCUAAAUCUGGAUCUGGCUGAUAUAACUUGGGCUCUCCAAUUCCUAUCCCCCAGCUGCCUGCCUGGGAACAUGAUGCAGAACUACAGAGGUGCCUACAUGGCACCCGUUCCUUAAGGAGAGUACUUGGUUUUAAAAUUCGUAUUUCAGAAACCUCAAUCCAGACUGUCUGGAUGCACUUCUGUUUGACAAUCUAGUUCACUCCUGAAAUCCAAUCACCUUCUUCCAAGAAUUAAAUACAUUUAUUUUCCUGAUUUCUAUUUAUGUUUAAAGUCAAGUUAGUGGAGCAGAGUUUGUGGAAGAAAUAGGAACUGAGCUAAAGUUUAAAGCACCUACAUCCUAGACUGUACUGACACUCAUAUUAGCUCUCAUCUAUAUAUACUCAAAUCUACAGGUAAAUAAAUAAAAGUAGAUACGCACAAAAUUCCAUCAUUUCUAUUAAACAAUUCUUUAGAAAAAUACAGUUGACAAACUUACAUUUCUUCUUAAUACAGUAGGUACUCUGCCUAAGAAACAAGAACUUCUAGCUCAAAUCAGGGCUUAGGCAAUUUAAACAAAGACUUGCAUCAAAAGUUUUCAAAAUUUCACAAAAGUGCCAUUCAAACCACCGGCAAUUGAUCCUUCCCAUGCUGUAGUGAUGCUCACAUUUAACAAAGCAAAUGGAGAGUUAUGAUUGUUAUCUAAAGCAGGGGCACAAUUAAAGAAAAUGAGAUUUGUUUAUAGAACAACAUCAGCUUGUUUUUUUCUUGGUUACUAAUCAUGAGUUUAAUUUUUAAUGGAAAAGCAUUGCUAGCACAAUUAACACUCAAUUUACAUGUGCAUCCAUAGACCCAAUUAAUUAAAUUUUAUUGAUGCCUAGUUGCUCUUUAAAAUGCGUUCCAAAUGCCUUCAAAUUGAUUUUAAGUGGUUGAUAGUGAAAGCCUGUAUGCUUCUGGUAGCAACCCUACAGAUUUUCAUAUAUUUAUUUAUAUAUUUUAUAUACAUUUUAAUACACAUUUUUAUACAUGUAGCUUACAUACUGUAAGCUUUACACAAUACUUUUUCUCAGAACAUUGACUGUUCUGUAACAGAAUUUAAAACAAAGUUAUGGAAGAAGCUCCUAAAAGCCUUGCAAUGAAAUACAAAAAUACUAAAAUUAGAGUUUUUAAAAUAUAAAGUAAUAAAUAAUUUGUAUAAGUUAUUUGAUUUCCAUGGGCAGAACAUCUCAUUGAUGUUUGAAAAAUACUCAUGCAGAACGUAAACCAGCAGCAUUCAGUAUGAUUAGUGGUAGGUGGGUUACUUCAGCUAAAAUAGCACCAAAGAAUCUUAGCAACAAAGUUUCUGAAUCAGAGAGAGAAAAUUGGUAUUACCUGUGCUUUACACUUUGGGAACUAAAACACAGAAAUCGAGGAACUGAUCUGAGAUCUUCUGAGGACAGCAGGAAUUUGCUGCAGAUUUUCAUAUUAGGUGACUUUCCAAAAGUGACAGAAUAAAUCUGAGUGGUCAGAAAUUUAACUUACAUUGUUUAAAUCUAAGCACAGUAUCCUUGCCAAAACACCUUCCCUUGUAUACUUCAUAAAAUAAAGUGAAUCAAUAUUGCUGAUG
ensembl:lncRNA